UACCUCAAUUCCUGUUGCCCAGGGAGUAGCUAGUCAACUCCGUGGUUUUCCUCAAUGAACAUUACAUUUUUUAAAAGAUGAAGGAACCAACAAAGGGAAAUUUUUUUCUGGAUCUGAUGCUCAGCACUGAAGAGGAACUGUGGUGGACAUAAUGAGGUAUCCAUCUUAGGAUUGCUAUUUGGUCACCUGUACUCAGUGAAAGAAACAGGAAGAAGAGGCAGUUGGAGAGAUUUGAGGUUCAGUUUCAGGUCCGCUGCUAACAUGGGUGCUCAGUGUUAAAUUCAGGAAGUUGCCUUUGCUUCAGGAAGUAAAGAGGUGGAGGAAAAGAUCCUUUCCUACUGCUUAGAUGCAAAUCUAAGAGAGAACCAUAUGCUGGGCAGAUGGGGAAAGAAGAGAACAUAAAAAGAUGGAAUCACUCUUUUGAAAGUCUGGGCUACUUUUCCUGACCGUGGCUAAUCUUUUUAUUUAUUAUUUAUUUUUAAAAUUUUUAUUUAAUUAAUCAAUUUAGAACAUUUCCCCCUGGUUACAAGAAUAAUGCUUCUUCCCUCCCCACUCCUCACUCCCUCCUGUAGCCAACAGUCCAUUCCACUGGGUUUUACAUGUGUCCUUGAUUGAAACUUAUUUCCAUGUUGUUGAUGUUUGAAUUAGGGUGAUCAUAUCCCCAUCGAUCCAUGUGAUCAAGCAGUUGUUUUUCUUCUGUGUUUCUAC
rnacentral:lncRNA from 1 species